CUACGGGGCGCUCCAGUGAGGAAUAUUGCACAAUGGGGGGAACCCUGAUGCAGCAACGCCGCGUGGAGGAUGACGCAUUUCGGUGUGUAAACUCCUUUUAUAUGUCAAGAAAAUGACGGUAGCAUAUGAAUAAGCACCGGCUAACUCCGUGCCAGCAGCCGCGGUAAUACGGAGGGUGCAAGCGUUACUCGGAAUCACUGGGCGUAAAGGACGCGUAGGCGGGUUGGAAAGUCAGGUGUGAAAUCCUACAGCUUAACUGUAGAACUGCACUUGAAACUUCUAAUCUAGAGUAUGGGAGGGGAGAUGGAAUUAGUGGUGUAGGGGUAAAAUCCGUAGAUAUCACUAGGAAUACCUAAAGCGCAGGCGAUCUCCUGGAACAUUACUGACGCUAAGGCGUGAAAGCGUGGGGAGCAAACAGGAUUAGAUACCCGAGUAGUC
rnacentral:rRNA from 1 species